AUUGAACGCUGGCGGCAGGCCUAACACAUGCAAGUCGAGCGGCAGCGGAAAGUAGCUUGCUACUUUGCCGGCGAGCGGCGGACGGGUGAGUAAUGUCUGGGAAACUGCCUGAUGGAGGGGGAUAACUACUGGAAACGGUAGCUAAUACCGCAUAACGUCGCAAGACCAAAGAGGGGGACCUUCGGGCCUCUUGCCAUCAGAUGUGCCCAGAUGGGAUUAGCUAGUAGGUGGGGUAACGGCUCACCUAGGCUACGAUCCCUAGCUGGGCUGCGAGGAUGACGAGCCACACUGGAACAUGGACACGGUCCAGACUCCGACGGGAAGCAGCAGUGGGGAAUAUUGCACAAUGGGCGCAAGCCUGAUUCAGCCAUGCCGCGUGUAUGAAGAAGGCCUUCGGGUUGUAAAGUACUUUCAGCGGGGAGGAAGGCGUUGUGGUUAAUAGCUUCACCGAUUGACGUUACCCGCAGAAGAAGCACCGGCUAACUCCGUGCCAGCAGCCGCCGUAA
rnacentral:rRNA from 1 species